rnacentral:rRNA from 1 species
UAGGGAAUCUUCCACAAUGGGCGCAAGCCUGAUGGAGCAACACCGCGUGAGUGAAGAAGGGUUUCGGCUCGUAAAGCUCUGUUGUUAAAGAAGAACACGUAUGAGAUUAACUGUUCAUACGUUGACGGUAUUUAACCAGAAAGUCACGGCUAACUACGUGCCAGCAGCCGCGGUAAUACGUAGGUGGCAAGCGUUAUCCGGAUUUAUUGGGCGUAAAGAGAGUGCAGGCGGUUUUCUAAGUCUGAUGUGAAAGCCUUCGGCUUAACCGGAGAAGUGCAUCGGAAACUGGAUAACUUGAGUGCAGAAGAGGGUAGUGGAACUCCAUGUGUAGCGGUGGAAUGCGUAGAUAUAUGGAAGAACACCAGUGGCGAAGGCGGCUACCUGGUCUGCAACUGACGCUGAGACUCGAAAGCAUGGGUAGCGAACAGGAUUAGAUACCCUGGUAGUCCAUGCCGUAAACGAUGAGUGCUAGGUGUUGGAGGGUUUCCGCCCUUCAGUGCCGGAGCUAACGCAUUAAGCACUCCGCCUGGGGAGUACGACCGCAAGGUUG